UACGAAGGGGGCUAGCGUUGCUCGGAAUCACUGGGCGUAAAGCGCACGUAGGCGGAUUGUUAAGUCAGGGGUGAAAUCCUGGAGCUCAACUCCAGAACUGCCUUUGAUACUGGGAAGCUUGAGUCCGGGAGAGGUGAGUGGAACUCCGAGUGUAGAGGUGAAAUUCGUAGAUAUUCGGAAGAACACCAGUGGCGAAGGCGGCUCACUGGCCCGGUACUGACGCUGAGGUGCGAAAGCGUGGGGAGCAAACAGG
rnacentral:rRNA from 1 species